rnacentral:rRNA from 1 species
GAAUUGCAGAAUUCCGCGAAUCAUCGAGUUUUUGAACGCAAGUUGCGCCCGAGGCUCGUCUGAGGGCAUGCCUGCCUGAGCG